rnacentral:rRNA from 1 species
UGCCAGCCGCCGCGGUAAUACGGAGGGUGCAAGCGUUACUCGGAAUCACUGGGCGUAAAGAGCGUGUAGGCGGGUUAAUAAGUCAGAUGUGAAAGCCAAUAGCUCAACUAUUGAACUGCAUUUGAAACUGAAAACCUAGAAUAUGGGAGAGGUAGAUGGAAUUUCCUAGGAAGCGGUAGAAUGUGUUGAUCUAGGAAGGAACACCAAUAGCGAAAGCAGUGCUCUGGCACAUUCCUGACAUUGAGGUGCGAAAGCGUGGGGAUCAAAAGGGAUUAGAUA